GGAGGGUAUAGCUCAGUGGUAGACCACUGUACUUAGCAUGCAUGAGGUCCUGGGUUCAAUCCCCAGUACCUCCA